UACGUAGGGUGCGAGCGUUAAUCGGAAUUACUGGGCGUAAAGCGCGCGUAGGUGGUUUGUUAAGUUGGAUGUGAAAUCCCCGGGCUCAACCUGGGAACUGCAUUCAAAACUGACAAGCUAGAGUAUAGUAGAGGAGAGGGGAAUUCCUGGUGUAGCAGUGAAAUGCGUAGAGAUCAGGAGGAACAUCAGUGGCGAAGGCGCCUCUCUGGACUAAUACUGACACUGAAAAGCGAAGGCGUGGGGAUCAAACAGGAUUAGAAACCCGAGUAGU
rnacentral:rRNA from 1 species